rnacentral:rRNA from 1 species
ACUCCUGCGGGAGGCAGCAGUGGGGAAUAUUGGACAAUGGGCGCAAGCCUGAUCCAGCCAUGCCGCGUGAGUGAUGAAGGCCCUAGGGUUGUAAAGCUCUUUUACCGGUGAAGAUAAUGACGGUAACCGGAGAAGAAGCCCCGGCUAACUUCGUGCCAGCAGCCGCGGUAAUACGAAGGGGGCUAGCGUUGUUCGGAUUUACUGGGCGUAAAGCGCACGUAGGCGGACUAUUAAGUCAGGGGUGAAAUCCCGGGGCUCAACCCCGGAACUGCCUUUGAUACUGGUAGUCUUGAGUUCGAGAGAGGUGAGUGGAAUUCCGAGUGUAGAGGUGAAAUGCGUAGAUAUUCGGAGGAACACCAGUGGCGAAGGCGGCUCACUGGCUCGAUACUGACGCUGAGGUGCGAAAGCGUGGGGAGCAAACAGGAUUAGAUACCCCGGUAGUCCCAU